AUGCAGUAGCUGCUGAUCCUGCUGGACCUAUGGCUGGGCACCAUGGGAUUAGGCGGGGCUGAGCUCCUAAAGGCCUAGCAGCAGGGCCUGCAGGUACCCUGGGGAAAUUCCAUAAGCAUCCACUUAUGCAGUGAGCCUUCAGGGAGACCAAUAUGAGCAGUGCUAUGGAUACACUCUCCCCAGCAGGGAACUUUGUGGGGCUAGAAUUUAAGCUCCAGUAUAUAAAUUUCUGCAAGAAGAAUCCUGAGUGCAAAGUCAAGUCCAGUGGAAAGAAGCAGAAAUGCCUGGCCUACAUCAAACUUGAGGAUGAAGUUUUGGGCCAGAUGGUCCAUUGCCCCAUACAGAUGCAGGAUUGACAGGAGCCUGAAAAGCACCAGGAGAUCCAGUGCAGUAGAGUGGAGCAAGGUAGCCAUGACCCUCACAGCUACUACUUCCCUGGACAAUUUGCCUUCUUUUCAAGGCCCUGCUCCCCA
rnacentral:lncRNA from 1 species